rnacentral:lncRNA from 1 species
CAUGUUCCACAAGCUUCUUAUUCAACUUUACCUGUCCUCUACCCCGUCUCUCAGUGCAUCGCUUUUUUUCCUGUACUGUGUUAAGGCUGACUGUGUGCUUGGGGCCUGAGCAUUGGUGUUUUAAGAAAUUCCCCAGGAAAUUCUGAUGUACAGUUUGUGUUGAGGAGCAGUCAUCUACAGAAACCCUGCCAGCAUCUGAACUUCAGCAGGGAGAAUCUGCUGCAGUAAAGGAAAUACAUCCCUUCCAUUGUUCUGAAUAUUCUGCAUCCUGUGGUCCCUGCUAAUGUUUCCCAUCUGGAGUCCUUUGUAACUCAUUCUGCUCCAUUAGGAUCUGAUAUCCCACCUGUGGACUAUUGACUCGGACCACAAUGAUAACUUGUGAUAAUCUCAGCUGCAUUCACUUUAAUACUUGGCAUGCAGCACCUAGCUUCUGUGUACCUGUUUGUGUAGCUAGGGCUGUCAGACUCUAGGGAUUGAGCUGUGAAUAGCUUCAAAAGUCAGACUGCAGAAUUAGGACUCCUUCAGAUUGGCUACUGUCACCUUCAUGGUAUCACCACCAAGUCCUGCUGAGGAUGAACUGCACUUUCAAGAAUGCCCUUCCUUGUAGAGUUUUGGGUUAGUUUGCCUGAAAGAGCAGAAGGUGGAAAUGCCACGGUCAUUCUUCUCAGAGGAUUCAGAGAGCAGACCUAGCAGGCUCCCAGACCUCUUUUCAAUACCUUCUUGGUUUCAGGGUUGGAGAAUCCCCUGUUCCAGGACACCAGCUCUCAUUCCAGUGGUGCCUAAGCCAAUAUGAAGUCAUCAUGUCGGCUUCAAUCCAGGCUGCCCAAGGUCCUAGGCAAGAGGGAUCAAAGGGACAAACACCAAGUGUGAAGAUGAAAGUUGACCUGGAAACCCUGUGUCCCAGCAUGCUGGGAGGCCAGGCUGCCCUUUGCCCAUGGGUCAGGGAGGAAGACUCACAAAAACCCAUAGGCCAGACUGCAAGCACAUCUCUUCCUCAGCAUGACCUCUGAGCUCUCCUCUCACCCAGUGCCUUUAAGGACAGCUUUCUCUUGGCCCUCAGGCCCUCUUUGGGUUCAGGAAGCUCAAGGUCAUUGGGGGGGCCAGAAAUCAAGCAUUACCUCUGGCCUUUGAAGACCAUGGACAAGUCAUCAUCUCCUGAGCUUGGCGGACUGAAGGUGCAUCACUGUGAAACCCCUAAACUUAUCACAGGGUGGGGCACAGAGGAAGACAUCUCAGCUCCUAAUCCUCAAAGAAUAAAUUGAUAGUAGUUUGCUUUGAGGAUGAGGGAGAGGAGAACCAUAUUCAGAGGAAUCCAAGGAGGAGAGACACAACAUGACAGGCUAGGAACUGGGGAAUAUAACUGAAUUUUAAACCUGGGUCAGCAUCUGUAUCCCUUAUUGAAUCCUAAUGAUGUCCAAUGUGGUGGCCCUGGGAUUAUUCCAUGUCAUAGUGGAAUGAGACAGAUGAGGCUAAGUUUGAGUGACUUGCCUAAAGUUAUGGCUUUGGCAUAUGGCAAAGCCAGGAUGUGGACUCAGACCUGCCUACUUGACAUAGAAGCACAGUCAUAUCCAUGUUCUAGAAAUUUCCCUACUCCCUGGAGAGUACUAGAGGGGCUGGCAGUAGAGGCAGAGAGAUCAGUCAACACUCUGCUGCAGUAGUUUUAAGUAGCUAAGAUAAUCUCUCAAGUCACUGGAUCAGAUGUGCAAAACAU